rnacentral:rRNA from 1 species
UACAGAGGUCUCAAGCGUUGUUCGGAUUCAUUGGGCGUAAAGGGUGCGUAGGCGGCGCGGUAAGUCGGGUGUGAAAUCUUGGAGCUUAACUCCGAAACUGCAUUCGAUACUGCCGUGCUUGAGGACUGGAGAGGAGACUGGAAUUUACGGUGUAGCGGUGAAAUGCGUAGAUAUCUGCAGGAACACCCGUGGCGAAAGCGGCGAGCUGGAUCACUACUGACGCUGAGGAACGAAAGCUAGGGAGCAAACAGG